AGCGAACGCUGGCGGCAGGCCUAACACAUGCAAGCCGAACGACCUCUUCGGAGUUAGCGGCGGCCGGGUGAGUAACACGUGGGAACGUGCCUUUAGGUUCGAAAUAACCGCGGGAAACUGCGGCCAAUGCCCCAGGAGCCCUACGGGGCAAGGAUUUAUCGCCAUCAGAGGGGCCCGCGUCGGAUUAGCUUGUUGGUGAGGUAACGGCUCACCAAGGCAACGAUCCGUAGCUGGUCUGAGAGGAUGAUCAGCCCCACUGGGACUGAGAUACGGCCCAGACUCCUACGGGAGGCAGCAGUGGGGAAGAUUGGACAAUGGGGGCAACCCUGAUCCAGCAAUGCCGCGUGAGUGAAGAAGGCCUUAGGGUUGUAAAGCUCUUUCGGCGGGGACGAUGAUGACGGUACCCGCAGAAGAAGCCCCGGCUAACUUCGUGCCAGCCGCCGCGGUAAUAC
rnacentral:rRNA from 1 species